GCCUUAGUAACGGCGAGUGAAGCGGCAACAGCUCAAAUUUGAAAUCUGGCCUCCCCUGGUGGCCCGAGUUGUAAUUUGCAGAGGGUGCUUUGGCGUCGGCAGCGGUCUAAGUUCCUUGGAACAGGACAUCGCAGAGGGUGAGAAUCCCGUACGUGGUCGCCUGCCUUCGCCGUGUAAAGCCCCUUCGACGAGUCGAGUUGUUUGGGAAUGCAGCUCUAAAUGGGAGGUAAAUUUCUUCUAAAGCUAAAUACCGGCCAGAGACCGAUAGCGCACAAGUAGAGUGAUCGAAAGAUGAAAAGCACUUUGGAAAGAGAGUCAAACAGCACGUGAAAUUGUUGAAAGGGAAGCGCUUGCAGCCAGACUUGCCCGUAGUUGCUCAUCGGAACACUUGCUCCGAGCACUCUUCUGCGGGCAGGCCAGCAUCAGUUUGGGCGACCGGAUAAAGGCCUCUGUCAUGUAUCUUCCUUCGGGAUGACCUUAUAGGGGAGGCGUAAUGCGGCCAGCCCGGACUGAGGUCCGCGCUUCGGCUAGGAUGCUGGCGUAAUGGCUGUAAGCGGCCCGUCUUGAAACACGGACCAAGGAGUCUAACAUCUAUGCGAGUGUUUGGGUGUCAAGCCCGGGCGCGUAAUGAAAGUGAACGGAGGUGGGAACCCUCUCCUGGGGGUGCACCAUCGACCGAUCCUGAUGUCUUCGGAUGGAUUUGAGUAAGAGCAUAGCUGUUGGGACCCGAAAGAUGGUGAACUAUGCUUGAAUAGGGUGAAGCCAGAGGAAACUCUGGUGGAGSYUCGCAGCGGUUCUGACGUGCAAAUCGAUCGUCAAAUUUGGGCAUAGGGGCGAAAGA
rnacentral:rRNA from 1 species